rnacentral:lncRNA from 1 species
UUUUUUUGUUGUUGUUUUAUAGUUUUGUUUUGAAGUUCACAUUAACAAUACUAUCAAUAUUAGCUAAUUGCCAAGAAUGAUAGUGAUAAACAGAGAACAUAUAAAUUUUCCUUUAUCUUUACAGGCUUUCGGAAGCUGUGAAAGUGUAUCUGCUAUGCAGCAAGGUG